AUGAAUACGACCCUGAUGGCGCCAUACACGGCCGAGGAGGUAUGGAAGGCUCUCUUUUCCAUUGGAGAUUUCAAGGCACCAGGACCAGAUGGCCUUCACGCGGUCUUUUAUAAACGGUUCUGGUCUAUGUUGGGUGAUGACUUGGUUAUGGAAGUUCUGAAUGCGAUCAAUUCCCGGGUUAUGCCACAAGGGUGGAAUGACACUACUAUUGUCAUGAUCCCAAAAGUAAAUUCCUCGGAGAAAGUUACUCAAUUCAGACCGAUCAGUUUAUGCAAUGUGGUAUACAAGGUGAUUUCUAAGAUGAUAGCUGCGAGACUCAAGGUGUUACUCCCAGAGAUCAUUAGCCCUACCCAGAGUGCCUUUGUUCCUGGUCGACUCAUUACGGAUAAUGUGCUAAUAACUUACGAGAGUUUACAUGCAAUAAAACAAAAAAAGGUGGGCAAAGAUGGUUGGUGUGCGGUGAAACUUGAUAUGCAUAAAGCCUAUGACAGAGUUGAGUGGGUUUUCCUGGAAGCAAUGUUGUUGAAGCUUGGAUUCCAUCAGGAUUGGGUUAAGAUGAUAAUGUUGUGUGUGUCUUCUGUUGAAUAUAAGGUGAGAUAUAACUCAGUGGAGACGAAAUAUUUCAAACCCUCCAGAGGUCUUCGACAAGGUGACCCACUCUCCCCGUAUCUGUUUCUCCUAUGUACGGAGGGUUUGACAGCCCUACUUUCUCAUGCGGAACAUAGUGGAGACUUAAUGGGGGUCAAGGUCUAUAGAGAUGCACCCGCGGUAACAAAUCUACUCUUUGCUGAUGAUUCGUUAAUUUUGAUGAAAGCUAAUAUUCAGAAUUCAAUGUGCUUGAGAUCAAUUCUGGAUUUAUAUUGUGUUGCGUCCGGGCAACUUGUUAGUGUUGACAAAUCAAGUAUCUUUUUUAGCCCCAGCACCGAGGUAAAUAUGAAGGCUCAGAUUUGCUCUUGUCUAAAUAUCAUGACCGAGGCCUUAAAUGACAAGUAUCUGGGACUACCUGCUACUCUUGGACUUGAUAAAAGUGACAGUUUUCAAUAUCUAAUAGAUCGGUUAAUUAUGAAGCUUACGGGGUGGAAGGAGAAGUGUCUCUCUUCAGGAGGGAAAAAAGUUCUUAUUAAAUCUGUUGCUCAAGCAAUACCAACUUAUGUGAUGUCGGUCUUUCAAAUUCCUAAGAAAAUUUGUAAAGGAAUCACAGAUGCGAUAUCUCGUUUUUGGUGGGGUGAUGACGCAACUCAUAAGAGGAUGCACUGGUUUGCAUGGUGA
rnacentral:rRNA from 1 species